rnacentral:rRNA from 1 species
AUUGAACGCUGGCGGCAGGCCUAACACAUGCAAGUCGAGCGGAUGAUGGGAGCUUGCUCCUGGAUUCAGCGGCGGACGGUUGAGUAAUGCCUAGGAAUCUGCCUGGUCGUGGGGGAUAACGUCCUGAAACGGGCGCUAAUACCGCAUACGUCCUGAGGGCGAAAGUGGGGGAUCUUCGGACCUCACGCUGUCAGAUGAGGCUAGGUGGGAUUAGCUAGUGGGUAGGGUAAAUGCCUAUCAAGGCGACGAUACAUAACUGGUCUGAGAGAAUGAUCAGUCACACUGGGAGUGAGACACGGCGGAGAAUAGUACGGGAGGCAGCAGUGGGGAAUAAUGGACAGUGGGGGAAAGAAGGAGGCAUCAAGGAUGCGUAAGUGAUGAAGGGCGGAGGGAAGGAAAGAUAUUUUACCCGGGAUGGUAAUGACAGUACCAAGAGAAUAAGCCCCGGCUAACUCCGUG